GACGUAGGGCGCGAGCGUUGUCCGGAUUUAUUGGGCGUAAAGAGCUCGUAGGCGGCUUGUCGCGUCGUCCGUGAAAACCCACAGCUCAACUGUGGGCUUGCGGUCGAUACGGGCAGGCUAGAGUUCGGUAGGGGAGACUGGAAUUCCUGGUGUAGCGGUGAAAUGCGCAGAUAUCGAGGAGGAACACCGGUGGCGAAGGCGGGUCUCUGGGCCGAUAUUGACGCUGGAGACGCGAAAGCGUGGGGAGCGAACCGG
rnacentral:rRNA from 1 species